UACGUAGGGGCCGAGCGUUGUCCGGAGUUACUGGGCGUAAAGCGCGCGCAGGCGGCUCGGUAAGCUCGGCGUGAAAGCCCCCGGCUCAACCGGGGAGGGUCGUCGGGGACUGCCGGGCUUGAGGGCGGUAGGGGCUGGUGGAAUUCCCGGUGUAGUGGUGAAAUGCGUAGAGAUCGGGAGGAACACCCGUGGCGAAGGCGGCCAGCUGGGCCGACCCUGACGCUGAGGCGCGAAGGCGUGGGGAGCGAACGGGAUUAGAUACCCCGGUAGUCCACGCAGUAAACGAUGCCGACUAGGCGUGGGGGGACUUGACCCCCUCCGUGCCGGAGCCAACGCGGUAAGUCGGCCGCCUGGGGAGUACGGCCGCAAGGCUAAA
rnacentral:rRNA from 1 species